CAAUAGCGUAUAUUUAAGUUGCUGCAGUUAAAAAGCUCGUAGUUGGAUUUCGGGUGGGAAUGGCCGGUCCGCCGUUUCGGUGUGCACUUGCUACGCCCACCUUGCUGCCGGGGACGUGCUCUUGAGUUCACGCUCGGGACACGGAGUCGGCGAGGUUACUUUGAGUAAAUUAGAGUGUUCAAAGCAGGCCUACGCUCUGAAUACAUUAGCAUGGAAUAACACGAUAGGACUCUGGCCUAUCUUGUUGGUCUGUAGGACCGGAGUAAUGAUUAAGAGGGACAGUCGGGGGCAUUCGUAUUUCAUUGUCAGAGGUGAAAUUCUUGGAUUUAUGAAAGACGAACUACUGCGAAAGCAUUUGCCAAGGAUGUUUUCACUAA
rnacentral:rRNA from 1 species